rnacentral:rRNA from 1 species
UGAGGAAUAUUGGUCAAUGGGCGAGAGCCUGAACCAGCCAAGUAGCGUGCAGGAUGACGGCCCUAUGGGUUGUAAACUGCUUUUAUAAGGGAAUAAAGUGAGUCUCGUGAGACUUUUUGCAUGUACCUUAUGAAUAAGGACCGGCUAAUUCCGUGCCAGCAGCCGCGGUAAUACGGAAGGUCCGGGCGUUAUCCGGAUUUAUUGGGUUUAAAGGGAGCGUAGGCCGGAGAUUAAGCGUGUUGUGAAAUGUAGUGGCUCAACGUCUGCACUGCAGCGCGAACUGGUU